rfam:Loktanella sp. 1ANDIMAR09 PM06_004, whole genome shotgun sequence.
GGGCACCUACGGGGGCCUCUCACAUCAGGGCUCUGCAAGGGGCCCGCCAAGCAAACGGAAGAAGCUA